AUUGAACGCUGGCGGCAGGCCUAACACAUGCAAGUCGAGCGAGAGGCGGACGGGGGAGUAAUGUCUGGGGAACUGCCUUAUGGAGGGGGAUAACUACUGGAAACGGUAACUAAUACCGCAUACCAUCAAAUGUGCCCAGAUGGGAUUAGCUGGUAGGUGGGGUAACGGCUCACCUAGGCGACGAUCCCUAGCUGGUCUGAGAGGAUGAACAGCCACCCGGGACUUGCGACACGGUCCCGACUCCCACGGUAGGCAGCAGUGGGGAAUAUUGCACAAUGGGCGCGAGCCUGAUGCAGCCAUGCCGCGGGUGUGAAGAAGGCCUUCGGGUUGUAAAGCACUUUCAGCGGGGAGGCGUUACCCGCAGAAGAAGCACCGGCGAACUCCGUGCCAGCAGCCGCGGUAAUAC
rnacentral:rRNA from 1 species